CGCACUGCUUGUCCCAAGUUGUUAACAAGUUUGUAACAACUUGUUAACAGUUGAAACAACCUUGUUGAUGUUAUCAGACGUGUUGCAAGGUUGUUCCAACAAGUCCGAUACAGCCGUGAUAUAACAAUAUUGUUACAACCUUGUAUCGUCAACCUUGUAACAUUCUUGUUGUAUCUGUAUCAAACUUGUUAGAACAACCUUAUGACAAGUCUGAUAAUGUUAUCAAGCUUGUUACAAGUUGUUAACAGCUUGUCCCAAACUUGUUACAACAACUGGGAACAAGUAGUGCG